rnacentral:rRNA from 1 species
UACGAAGGGGGCUAGCGUUGUUCGGAAUUACUGGGCGUAAAGCGCGCGCAGGCGGCUAUCCAAGUCAGUGGUGAAAGCCCGGAGCUCAACUCCGGAACUGCCAUUGAAACUGUUUAGCUUGAGGACGAGAGAGGUGAGUGGAAUUCCCAGUGUAGAGGUGAAAUUCGUAGAUAUGGGGAGGAACACCGGUGGCGAAGGCGGCCAUCUGGACGGCUAUUGACGCUGAGACGCGAAAGCGUGGGGAGCAAACAGG